rnacentral:tRNA from 1 species
GCUGGUGUGGCGCAAUGGUAGCGCAACUGAUUUGUAAUCAGUAGGCUGUGGGUUCGAGUCCCUCCACCAGCUCCA